rnacentral:rRNA from 1 species
GACGAACGCUGGCGGCGUGCUUAACACAUGCAAGUCGAACGGAAAGGCCCUGCUUUUGUGGGGUGCUCGAGUGGCGAACGGGUGAGUAACACGUGAGUAACCUACCCUUGACUUUGGGAUAACUUCAGGAAACUGGGGCUAAUACCGGAUAGGAGCUCCUGCUGCAUGGUGGGGGUUGGAAAGUUUCGGCGGUUGGGGAUGGACUCGCGGCUUAUCAGCUUGUUGGUGGGGUAGUGGCUUACCAAGGCUUUGACGGGUAGCCGGCCUGAGAGGGUGACCGGCCACAUUGGGACUGAGAUACGGCCCAGCCUCCUACGGGAGGCAGCAGUGGGGAAUAUUGCACAAUGGGCGGAAGCCUGCUGCAGCACCGCCGCGUGCGGGAUGACGGCCUUCGGGUUGUAAACCGCUUUCGCCUGUGACGAAGCGUGAGUGACGGUAAUGGGUAAAGAAGCACCGGCUAACUACGUG